GAUUGAAUGUAGCUCAGUUGGAAAGAGCGGGCUAUGGAGUGCUGGCCAGCAGUUCAGCGUGAUGGAUUGCAAGUCUGAUCGCUGGACUUCCUCAAAGUGCGGUCGCUGGUUCGAAUCCAGCCAUCCAAUCACCA
rnacentral:tRNA from 1 species